GCUGGCUACUGCUAAAACAUGCAGUCGUACGAAUGAAUUUUGGCUUGCCAAAAUUUAAUGAGUGGCGGACGGGUGAGUAACACGUAAGAACCUACCUUUUGGAGAGGGACAACCAUUGGAAACGAUGGCUAAUACCUCAUAAUGCUGAGAAGUUAAACGAUGAAUAAUCGCCAAGAGAUGGGCUUGCGGCUGAUUAGCUAGUUGGUGGGGUAAAGGCUUACCAAGGCGAUGAUCAGUAGCUGGUCUGAGAGGAUGAUCAGCCACACUGGGACUGAGACACGGCCCAGACUCCUACGGGAGGCAGCAGUGAGGAAUUUUCCGCAAUGGGCGAAAGCCUGACGGAGCAAUGCCGCGUGAAGGAUGAAGGCCUAUGGGUUGUAAACUUCUUUUCUCAGAAAAGAAAUAUUGACGGUAUCUGAAGAAUAAGCAUCUUUUUAUUUUUGUGCCAGCACCCGCGGUAAAACAGAAGAUGCA
rnacentral:rRNA from 1 species